ensembl:lncRNA
GGGAGGAAAAAGGGAAGGAAAAAGAAGGGGACGGGAGGGGAGGGGAGCAAAGGAAGCCAGGCCUGAUGGGGUCCCCGAGGGGAGCAGCGAAGGGAGGGGAGGAGCCGGCAGGUGUCGCUCGCGUGCUGAGCGCGCCCCCUGGCGCCGGGCCGUGGCCCCACCUGGUCCCGGCUGCCCACUCGAGCUCGGGGCGCAGCCUCGGUGUCCGGUGCACGGGGCGCGGACGGAUCGUGCGGGCUCCUACGGCAGCUCCGCGCUGGGUCCCGAGAUCCAUCCCAGGGAGGGGAAACAGGCUGCAGGCGGCGUGAGGCAGAGCGCUCCAGCUCCGAACGCCCCUCCAGGAGGGAGGCCACCGGGGCGGGGCGGGGCUGCCGGGCGUGGGCGGUGCAGCGCCCCAGGUGCCACUCGAAGCGCGCGGCAUCGGAGCGCGCAUGGCCGGGCCGGGGCCGGAGCCGGGGCGCGCGUGGCGGGCGCUCGCGCUGUGCGGGGCCUCCCUGUUCCUGGCGGCGGCAGCGGCCGGCGGAGCCCUGGUGGCCUGGAACCUGGCGGCCUCGACGGCCCGGGGCCCGCGCUGCCCCGAGCCGGGGCCUAACGCCACGACGCCGCUCCCGGGGCCGGACCCGGAGCUCGAGGAACUUCGGCGGCGGCUGGCCGAGGCCGCGCAGCGCGAGGACAGUCUGGCGGGGAGGCUGAGCCAGGCGGAGCGCGUCCGAGAGGAGCUGGAGCAGUCGCUGAGGGCCUUGGAGGGUCGACAAAGCCUGCUGCAGGCCCAGCUAAAGGCGCUGGACACGGAGAUGGACAAGGCCAAAGCGCGGGCGGCCCGGCUGGGGGUCGAGAACGGGGCGCUGGCAGAAGCCCUGGCGCGCGGGGAGGCGGCGGCCACGGAGGCUGCGCGGCAGCUGGAUGAGGCGCAGCAGCGCGCGGGCGCCGCCGAGGCCGAAGGCGAAGCCUGCGUUGCCCGGGAGGUGGCGCUACGCGAGCACCUCUCUGCCCUGGAGGCUGCCCUGGGCGCCCCGAGCCGAGGACCCCGGCCCCGCUCAGGGUCGCGAUCCCGGCCCCAGCCGCGCACUCGGCCCGGACCCUCCCGGGGCUGCCGGCGUCCGUCGCGGCCCGUGCGGGGCUGAGCCGCCCUGAGACCACUCGGAGCCCCGCAGCGACAGGCAGGCAGGUGGCCACGCGGGACCGGACGACAUCCACGCUCGGCCUCAGGCCGCCGACGCCCGAAGGAAAACAUCACAGACAGGGACGGCGCUCUCCCGACCAUCCAAUCCGUAUCCCAGACGGGGAAACUGAGGCCCACGGAGAUCAGGGCCAGUGUCUUGGAGAAACAAGAGGUGCACAUAGAAGCCGGGUGCCGUGAUACACACCUGCAUCCCAGCACUCGGGAGGCUGCGGCAGGGGGAGAGGGGCGAGUUGGAGUCCAGCCUGGGCUGCGUGGGGAGAUCCUGUCCGAAAGCAAGACAAACAAAAAAAUUGAGAGCUGUUUAAAUAAAGGAGUGUCCGACAGGCUACGAAGUGGAAUACUAUUCAACCCUUUAAAAGGCCAAAGUAGAGGCUCUCCCAGAUAGAACCGGUGAGAAGCGAG